rnacentral:rRNA from 1 species
GUGGGGAAUAUUGGGCAAUGGGGGCAACCCUGACCCAGCGACGCCGCGUGAGGGAAGACGGCCUUCGGGUUGUAAACCUCUUUUGUACGGGAAGAAGGAAGUGACGGUACUGUACGAAUAAGUCCCGGCUAACUACGUGCCAGCAGCCGCGGUAAUACGUAGGGGACGAGCGUUGUCCGGAAUUACUGGGCGUAAAGGGCGCGCAGGCUGUGCUGCAAGUCAGCUGUGAAAUGUCUGGGCUUAACCCGGGCAUGCGGUUGAGACUGCAGUGCUGGAGUGCUGUAGAGGCAAGUGGAAUUCCCAGUGUAGCGGUGAAAUGCGUAGAUAUUGGGAAGAACACCGGUGGCGAAGGCGACUUGCUGGCCAGCAACUGACGCUGAGGCGCGAAAGCCAGGGGAGCAAACGGGAUUAGAUACCCGGGUAGUCC